ensembl:lncRNA RNASE2CP ribonuclease A family member 2C, pseudogene
AGCUGCCCCUGAACCCCAGAACAACCAGCUGGAUCAAUUCUCAUAGGAGCCACAGCGCGGAGACUGUGAAACAUGGUUCCAAAACUGUUCACUUCCCAAAUUUGUCUGCUUCUUCUGUUGGGGCUUCUGGCUGUGGAGGGCUCACUCCAUGUCAAACCUCCACAGUUUACCUGGGCUCAGGGGUUUGACGUCCAUCAGUAGGAACCAGCUCCAAUGCACCAAUGCAAUGCGGUUGCAUGUGACAACAGGGAUCAACGACGGGACCCUCCACAGUAUCCAGUGGUUCCAGUUCACCUGGAUACCAUCAUCUAAGCUCCUGUAUCAGCACUCCUCGUCAUCACUCAUCUGCCAAGCUCCUCAAUCAUAGCCAAGAUCCCAUCCCUCCAUGUACUCUGGGUGUCAGCAUCUGUCCUCUUCAGUCUCUAUACCCCUUCCACUUGCCUGAGCUGAAGUGCCUUGUGAAGCCUGCAAUAAACUGCUUUGCAAAUUCA